rnacentral:rRNA from 1 species
GCAAAGCCUUACAGUGGAUGGUUUGGCUUGAGAGGCGACGAAGGGCGUGGCAAGCUGCGAAAAGCUCGGGGUAGCCGCAUGCAGGCAUUAAACCCGAGGUUCCCGAAUGCUCUGAAAGGAGCGCACACCCGCUGAAUUGAAAUAUCUUAGUAAGCGGAGGAAGAGAAACCAAUAGGGAUUGCGUGAUUAGUGCGAACGAAAGCGCAUGAGGGCAAACCGAAUCCUCUCUGCAAGGAGAGAAGAAAUGUGGUGUUUUGGGUUCUUCUUUUAGUCCUCGGACGAGAGCUGAAGGCAACUGGAAAGUUGCGCCUUAGAACGUGAAAGCCGUGUAAGCGAGACGCGAGGGGAUGGGAAGAAUUCCAGAGUAGUAUAGCCUGGAUUGGCUGUAUGAAAUUGCGAGUAUUAACUUGCAACCCUAAAAUACAACUCAAGACCGAUAGCGAAUUCAGUACCGUGAGGGAAAACUGAAAAGAACCGCGAAAGCGGAGUCAAAAGUGCCUGAAAUUGUAAGGCGACAUGAAGACUCGGCCCGAAAGGCCCGAAGAGGGUACGGGGUCGUGUCGUACUUCUUGAAGCAAGAGCCAAGGAGUUCACAAGAGUGGCAAGCAUUGUGCAUAGCGAAAGCGAAAACUCCGCAACACCCGCAAGGGUGCGAGGGAGGGCGUCUUAAUCGGCGUUAAGUCACUCUUGUGAGACCCGAAGCCAAUGCGAUCUAAGCGUGAGCAGGGUGAAGCCGCCCUUCAGGGUGGUGGAAGCCCGCAACCAGUGAUGGUCUAGCCUCUUGGGUGACUUGCGUUUAGGGAUGAAAGUUCAUUCGAGCUUGGCGAUAGCGGGUUCCCUUCGAAGUGAACCGCAGUUCAGCCCGGUUGGAGAUUGUUGUUAGGUAGAGCUACCGAUUGCGAAGCACGGGGGCGAAAGCCCUCACUUUGCUAUCAAACUCCGAAGCUAACAACGUUGUAGAAAGCCGGAGUUGGCAGCAUGAGUUAAGCGCGUGCUGCGAGGGAGUAAAGACUCUUACUGGAGUUAAGGCCCCUAAGAAACUGCUGAGUGUUCUUCAAGAUGUUUUGGUCCAUAGACAGUGGGGAGGUAGGAACAGAAGCUGCCAUCCUUUAAACAACGCGUAACAGCGGACCCAUCAAGGACUGAAGCGUUGUAAACUCUCGGGACUAAGCAGUUCGCCGAUACUUCAGAACACGUUUUGUAUAAACGUGAUUUAGUAGAGGGGCGUGCAGUUCGCGCAGAAGCAAGGCCGUGAGGUCUUGUGGAGCGGAUUGCAAUGAAGAUCUUGGUGCUAGUAGCAACUAUUCCAGGCGAGAAAACUUUUUUGAUAAAAAGUUUUAUCAAAAAAUUCUUGAUUCCUGGACGCCGAAAGGACUAAGGGUUUCUUGGCAACGUUAGUCGACCAAGAGUCAGUCGGUCCUAAGACUAAACGAUAGUGAUGUCGAAAGGGAAACGCGUUAACAUUCGCGUACCACUUGAGUAAGUGCGGCAACGCAAGCCCGUAUCCAAACGCUUAGGGAUAGGCCCACAACGUGCAUCGUUGUUAACUUGAAUACAACGGGGAAGUCUCGUAAUGAGGAGCACCCGUUGAAGCAGGGAACGGCCUCCGCAAGGGGGUUGGGUUGAAUCCUAGAGCCCGUGAAAAUGGAACGGGAGUGAUCUCGAGUGUCCGUACCAAGAACCAGUACAAGAAUUUUUCUUUUACUGAAAGAAAAAUUCAGUAAAGAAAUUUUUUACUGAAAGGUGGUCCUGGCAGAGCAAGCCAAGGCGUGGCAGGAGAACCAUGGCAAGGGAAUUCGGCAAUCUAGGCCCGUAACUUCGGAAGAAGGGCUGCCUACAUUCUUCCAUAGACUUUGUCGAGUGGGGGUUUGUAGGUCGCAGUGGCAAGGAGACAGCGACUGUUUAUCAAAAACACAAAUCAUCGCAAAACCGAAAGGUUGAGUACGAUGGUUGACGCCUGCUCACUACUGGUAUCUCAAACUCCUUUUCAAGGGAGCUAAGGACCGGCAAAGAGCGGGAGUAACUCUGACUCUCUUAAGGUAGCGUAGUACCUCGCCGCUUAAUUGGCGGCUUUGGGAAGCGCACUCAAACAGUCAGCUGUUCCAGUAGCACUGGAACACUGGAAGCCUAGUGUCUGUAAAGCCUUUAAAAUUCCCAUGUUCUUUCGCAAUUAUGUUGACCAAGAGCUUGAGUUAUUUGCUCGGAGUUCUUCGUGAUGGUUGCUUGUCAAAAAGCGGCCAAAAGACCGAAGUGACUCUAGCGACUGAUUUGAGUCGUGAUUGGUUGAAUGUAAUUGCGCAACUCGCAUCCGUAGAAUUUUCUAUACCCGAAUCAAGAUUCAAAAUCUAUGAAGUUUGGGGCAAGAAAAGCAAGCAAUCGUGCUACCGGCUAAAAAUAUACUCGAAGGCAGUGUUCGACUUGCUGUUGAACCACUAUCGAGAGUCAGCCCAAUUACAUUGGUGUACGCCACCUAUAGUGAGGGAAGCUAGUUUGGAGCUGCAAAAAGAGUAUUUAGCUGGUUUUUACGAUGCGGAAGGCGGUUGUAGGAACGUGGAGAACUAUUUGAGUGGAAAAACGAAAUCCAUUCAAUGUUGGGCUUCUAUCAGAUGCAAGCACGAUGGCUUUAACGAGCCGCUCGAGUUUGCAAAAAGGAUUUUUAAUGAAGUCGGGAUUAAGUCAAGCGUAUACGAUUCUGACGAGCUCGUGAUAACGGGCAGGAAGAAUCUCCGCUUGUUUUACGAAACCUUCCCUCUCAAACACGGGAGGAAGAAGAACGACGUAAAAAAUCUUUUGAUAUUCGAGAGGGCGCUUUCCGCCGACGCAUGAAUGGCGUAACGACUGUCUUGCUGUCCCUGCCUUGGACCUGGUGAACCUACUUCUCGGUGAACAUGCCGAGGAAUCCUAAAGGGAAACGAAGACCCCGUGGAGCUUAACCACAGCCUGUUGUUGUAAUUCGGUUGGAGAAUCAAAGUGUAAGCAGGAGCCGUUAAGCGCACUCUCCCGGGAGUGCGAUAGGCGAAAG